rnacentral:rRNA from 1 species
GGUGGCUUGCCAGAACAACCCCUAUUUGGGUCCAGUUACAUGGAUCACAGGUUGACCUCGAAUCAGGUAGGA